CAGCUUCGUGUGUAUACAUAUAGUCUUCCCUAUGCAUUAGGUUUUUUGCGUAAUGCAUUAACAGUUGACAGCCUAUCUUAUGAUGUGUACUCUGUUUACAUUACAGUUGUUUAUUAGUUUACUCGUUUGUUUUGCGACUGAUGAAAUGCCGGCAUAUAUAUAUUUUCAACAUUUGACAUAACCCUGUAUGUUUUGCAGGGACAACCCAGGACGUGCAUUUCUCAGCACCCAGUCAACUGCCAAAAGUGACUCAAACACAGGCCACCAGUGGAACUCGGCUGUACCACUGCAGUGCUGCGGAAAUUGCCUUCUCCAGCGGCUUUGCAACAGCUGUUUCGCAGCAUGUCGGAGACAAUGCCUACGAAAUUAUUGGCCCUGAUCAUGAGAGCCCUCAAGGGGCAAACAACAUCUCUGUUGCAGAAGUGAGCCCGGUACCACUUGGAAGUUACCAUGACAGAUGACACGGCAGCAAUAGAUACAGAGACUGCCACGUCUACUGCAGCAGCAACAGUGUACGAGGCAAGCAGCAGCGCGUCAGCAGCAGUGUCAGAAGGAACCACACCAGGCCUGGUAGAGCAACAUGUGUGCUAUCACUGACUUUUUUUGUAGUGGAUACAACUCAUUUGCUCAACAUACAAAAGCUUUUCACCACGACUGUGAGCCAGUGUUAUUGUGCAGCAA
rnacentral:lncRNA from 1 species